AAUCAUGAAUACCUGUUCUCCGAUAUGGGAAGAAGAGUUUACAUUUAGGUUACAACAACCACCAACUAACGAAGUACUGCAAUUGGAAGUCACUAGUAUGGGGGAAUCUCUAGGGAGUUUCGAUAUAAGCCUUGAAGAUGUUGUGAACAGCAGGCGCACCAUCACUACAUGCAAGUGUCAGUACGAGAGUUGGAUAAUUGUGGAGUUGCAAUGGAGAACCUCUGACUAGAUUAUUACGGUAAAGGAACAGCAAUAUUACCUGCAAGACGGCCUUUAAGGUCCUGAUGAAGAAGUUCUAACCAUUGAGAGGCAACACUUGCAGCUGCAAAUAUACAAUAAUACCCGAAAUAUGUCAUGGUCAUGUUUGAACUGCGGUUACAUAAUCUUGAAUGAAAAUGCUUGAAAAUUAGGCUAAGAUUCUUCUUUUUAACUUAGUAACUCAUUUCAUAUUCUAGUUCUGUAAUACCCAGAAUAUGAUCAAACUCCACUAAAUCGAUCUAUUAAUGGGU